CAAAACCACUGAUCAAAACCAACAUCAAUUAUACAGUUGAACAAACUGAGUCCUUGAAAGAAGACAGGGUCUACCCACAAAAAUUAAGAGGGUCCAUAGCACAUAUGCAACUCAAACCCACGUCCUCAAGGAAAUGAAACUUUUUGAGGGUCCUGCAAAAUAGCCCAGGGUAAAGGCCUCAGGAAGAGCCCAGUGCAGAGUGAGAGUUGGCCCAGCAUAACUAGGGACCCCGUUUGACUAAGCCUCUUUUAUCUCCCCAGUGAGCUGAUCCUUUCAUUCACCUCCAGGAACAAGACUGGGCUGAUGUCAGAGGUGUGUGGACCAGAGCAACUCCAUCGUGAAUAGGAGCUGGGUAAAAUGAGGCUGAGACCUACUGGGCUGCAUUCCCCGACUGUUAAGGCGUUCUAAAUCACAGGAUGAGCUGGGAGGUCGGCACCAGAUACAGGAAACCAGAUCUUCAGAGCUGCCCUGCACCACCGCCCCAGGAGCUUCCAUCUCUGGACUCAGGGGAUGAUGGGAUGGCCACUUGGUGAAGCCGAAGUCGUCUUGAUGGAGCAGCAAAUGAGGGCUCCAUGCACCUGGCAGCAGAAGAGGAAGAAGCCCCAGCAUCUUAACGUGGUCCAGCCCCUGCGAAGGUCAACGCUGAGAGGGAGUGAGAGCAUCGGGAUUCCGAUGGUGUCUGCCAGUCGGUUUCCCAAUUUCAAUCUGGAAACAGUUGACCUUGAAGUGCUUUCAGAAAUAAGGAAGUACCAAAACCCAGGAGGAGAUGCCUGUCGUUGAGUGGGUUUCAUUUCCAUUUAAAAGGCUGCUAUUGGCAUCAGAACGGGAGAAAGGAGGCGGCAAUGUAUACGCAAAGACCCCCAAACCAGCACAGCUUUCUUCACUCAGCAUCCACUUCCACCACCUGCAGGUUGCCUUCAGCCAUUCUCCCAGCCCCCAGUGGGAGGGCAGGGCCAACUCGGUCCCCAGCACUGCACUGUGAGUGUUCUCAGUGCACUCAUACCCUGGGGAUGUGUCUUUGGAAGAAAUAAAGAGAGCCUCUUAUUGAGCAUGUGUUGUGCCUGACUCCUUCCCUACAAACACCCACAGCACAUCACAGACACAGGACGUGAAGCACGAGGGACUAGGUGAAGUCCUGCAACCAGGAAGCCUGCAGGACACAGAACUCAAGCUCAAGCCUGUUGCUGCAAAGCCUUUGUUCUUCCCAGCGGUCCCCAACCUUUUUGGCACCAGGGACGUUUUGUGGAAUACAAUUUUUCCACCGACCGUGGGUGGGGAGGGGAUGGUUUCGUCAGAGAUUAGAUUCUCAUAGGGAGUGCACAGCCUAGAUCCCCCGCAUGCACAGUUCACGAUAGAGUUCAUAUUCCCAUGAGAACCCAGUGCUGCAGUAGAUCUGACAGGGGGCACCGCUCAGGCGGUAGUGCUAGCUUGCCACUCACCUCCUGCUGUGCAGCCCGUGCCUAACGGGCCACGGCCCAUACUGGUCCGGGGGUUGGGUACCCCUGCUCUACACCUCGCCAGAAGAGAAAAGUGCAGAGUGCAACAAAGAGAUGACUCACUGAUGGUGGCAUAUUAGACACUGUGGCACUGGGUACAAAUAGGCUAGGAGAUAGUAGGUCAACCUUGGUUUCCUCGAUUCAGCCCAGUUGAACCCAGCAUGUCUUGGGGCCAUGAUGCUCAGCCCCAGGCUGUCUCCUGUGAGGGAUGUGCUGGAGAGAAAAUGACCCCAGCCUCAAAGAACCAAUGGUCUCUCAGGAAAGGGAGGAAUGUAACUCACAUCCAAAAUAAGCAGCUGAACAGCUUUGCAGUUUGCGAAGCAGACUCAUCCCACUGAAUUCUUACAAGAACAUUAAGAAAGGACUGCUGUGCCCAGUUUGCAGAUGAAAACAAAUGCACAGAGAAAACUCUAGUUUGAUCUAAAAGACUUCAUCUGCCUCACCUGCUAUGGCACACCCAAAACCAGUUUUCGGUUGUUUUACUAAAAUUAUCUCCAAUACUGCUUCCAACUUCAUCCAGUGAUUCAUAUUUCCAAAUGCAUAUUUUAAUGUUUACAAGACUGGCUGAUUUUAACUCCAAAAAAUUCAGCCCCAAACAUCAAAAACAAUGUUUUCAUAAUACAGGAGGAGGGGAUGGAAGAGACCGGCUUACAUUUUAAAUGUUUUUUGUGCUUUUUUUUUUCCCUGCAGCCAAGCAAAAGUUGAAGGAACCUGUUAACGCAUUGAUUGCUUUGAGCACUAUUUCAAAUUAGUUUUCCGUUCCCCUCCAUAUGCUUUUCCAUUACAUUUAAAUAAAUUAAAGUCCGCUUCUCUGGAAGAGACAUGCUGGGCCUCGUCGGAUUUCUCAGACGGGUCCACACUGUCAGAAAUUCGUCAGCAACGCAUGCUGAUGGGCACAGGAUGGGCUGAUGCAGGAGCUUCUUGCUCUUUUUCUCCCUGAGUUUUUUUGUGGGAAUAGCACUGCCACCCUGGGGACCAGCCCACUCUGCCGCCUCCACCCGCUGACCCAGAGAGAGGCUCAGGUCCUGCUUGUGGCCACAGAGGACUACUGGUUUCAUCUGCUCCCUAUCACCAAGAUGCCCAGCUGGCUCUGGUUGGGCUGCCUGUGGCUCCUUCCCUGAUCCCACCCCAAGCGUGUGGCAGCCACUCCCUCGUCCCCGUGAAUCUGCACGAUGAGAUGGCUUAUAACAGUUAAGAAGUAGUGAAUAGUCCUUGCAGUCCUCAGGACUCUUUCACUGUAGGUUGGAAACCCAUCUUGGACAAGCUCCAUAGAAGUGCCUCGCUAAGACCAGGGCAGAGUGGGCUUCCGGCUUGAGUAUAUCCAAGGAUUCAUUGGGGUCUGUCUGUCCUGUGUCUCCCUCUCUCCCUAGUGCAGGUGGACACGGGGCCAGGGCCCCCUCCGUGGGUCCUCUGAUUUGCUCACCAAUGGGGCUCUACGUGGUUGGUAUGAGACAAAGGCCAUAUUGCCCCGGGGUCCCCAGUGUGCCCUAAACAGAGCAGACUCUCCGACCUUCUUCUUUCACUGAAGGCCCUGGAACAUGAAAACAACCACCCGACAACCCCUGUUGACCUACAGGGCACCCAGGAUCCUGGGGUGAGAACUUAAACCUAGUCAAUAACAGCAGGUGACACCUGCCAGGUCUUUUAAGAUGGACCAGUGAGGGGGUCCUCAAAUGGGAUCUGACAAGGAGCAGCAACAGUGGAGCCUGAGAGAAAGCCACCAGAAGUGAAGGAAUUGACCAGAUGGCCAGAAAGAGAAGGUGGUCCAGAUAGGAGGAUGCAGAAUGAGGAUGACUGGGCCACGCCUUGACAUGGUACUUACUCCCUGCCGGCCUCCCACAGCAGUGCCUUUGAACUCUGGAGAGAAGAGGCUGCAGUAGAGAGGGGUGAGUGCUUCCCUAGGAGCCAACAGCUCUGCUAGGGAGCCUCUCCUCAGUCC
ensembl:lncRNA